UACGUGAGGGGCAAGCGUUGUCCGGAAUCAUUGGGCGUAAAGAGCGCGUAGGCGGUCCGGUAAGUCCGCUCUGAAAGUCCGGGGGCUCAACCCCGGGAGGCGGGCGGAUACUGUCGGGCUAGAGUCCGGAAGAGGCGAGUGGAAUUCCUGGUGUAGCGGUGAAAUGCGCAGAUAUCGGGAGGAACACCAGUGGCGAAGGCGGAACUCUGGGCCGGAACUGACGCUGAGGAGCGAAAGCGUGGGGAGCGAACAGG
rnacentral:rRNA from 1 species